AUGUCGACGGCGUCGUCGGAGCAGCAGCAGCCACCGCACCGAGGGUUGUGGAGCCUCGGCGGGACGGUGGAGCUCGUGGCGGCGUUCACGGCGGUGUGCCUCGCGCUGUACGGGGCGGUGCUGUACCUCAACUAUCUGUACGUGCGGUGGAGCGGGCGGGACGGCGUGCGCCGGACGGGGUCCGGCCCCGAGGCCGGGCCGGCGGCGAGGAAGAGGGACGGCGGAGGAGGGCUCGACGAGGCGGCGCUGGCGGCCAUGCCGGUGUUCAGGUUCAAGGCGGAGCCGCGCGGGGCCGGCGGCGGCGAGGAGUGCGCGGUGUGCCUGGGCGCCAUGCAGGACGGCGACGCGGUGCGCGCCCUGCCCGGGUGCAGCCACGCGUUCCACGCCGGCUGCGUCGACGUCUGGCUGGGCGCGCACGCCACCUGCCCCGUCUGCCGCGCGCGCCCUGCCCUCCCGGUUCCGGCAGCGAAGGACGGCGGAGACCGCCGGACGGGAGCUUGA
rnacentral:rRNA from 1 species